AUAAAGUUUAAUUUUGAUUUGUGGGGGUCAUUAUGUUUUUUAUUUACAUGUAAAUUUUUGUGGGGUUUUAUAAAAAUUUUAAAGAAUAUUUUAUGGGGAUGAAUAUUCGCAGUAUGUAAAUUUUUUUAUUUAAGAAAUUAAGAAUAAUAAAUAAAUAAUAGUAUUAACAAAAUUUGUGCCAGCAGUUGCGGUUAUACAGAAAAUACAAAUGAAUUUUUUUGGUUUAUAAUAAAAUGUUUUUUUUAAUAAAAAUUAAAUUUAUUAAGUGAAAUUUUAAAUUUAAAUUAGUUAUUAAUUGAGUUAUUUGAAAUUAUGAGAUUUAGAUUUUAAACUAGGAUUAGAUACCCUAUUAUUUUAAGUGUAAAUAUUAUCAUGCUAAAGUAGUAAUAGUUAUGGUCUUCAAAUUUAAAAAAUUUGGCGGUAUUUUAGUCUAUUCAGAGGAACCUGUUCUAUAAUUGAUAUUCCACGAUUAAAUGUACUUGAAUUAAUAGUUUGUAUAUCGUCGUUAUUAAUUAUUUUAUUAGAAUUUAAAUAAUUAAGAUUUUUUAUUAAAAAGUAAAUCAGAUCAAGGUGCAGUUUAUAUUUAAGAAGAAAUGGGUUACAAUAAAUUUAUUUAUUAUGGAUUUAUUUAUUUAAAUUAAUAAUGAAAGUGGAUUUGAUAGUAAUAAAAUUUAUAUAAAUUUUAUGAUUUUAGCUCUAAAAUGUGUACAUAUCGCCCGUCGCUCUUAUUAUAAGGUAAGAUAAGUCGUAACAGAGUGGGUGUACUGGAAAGUGUGUCUAGAAAGAC
rnacentral:ncRNA from 1 species